GCCGAUGUAGCUCAGGGGUAGAGUAGCUGAUUCGUAAUCAGUUUGCCGUGGGUUCAAUUCCCAUCAUCGGCU
rnacentral:tRNA from 1 species